rnacentral:lncRNA from 1 species
ACCAAAGAUGUGAGGCAACUCUGGCCAAUUAGAUAUAAGCAGCCUUAGGGGUUGGCGCUUAUGGAAACAUCUUUUCCCUCAGAGAUGAAAAUAAAUAAAAAUUUAAAAGCCUCUUUGUAGGAGGAAUCUUACUUUUUUGUGCCUCUGAGGUGGCACUGCCAGGAGGCUCAUUAAACUGCUUCCUGAUAGUAAGUUUCCAGCUUUGCUGACACCGUGUUUCCGUGGAGAGAGAAGUCUAGGAAGGAAUGUUGGUCUGAGCGGAGCCUGUGGGGAUGUUGAAGAGGAAGGGGACCCUAAGCCUUCCAGCUAUACCAAAGGGUUGUUGAGCUCCCCUGGAGGAAGGCAAGAAGCAUGGAGCCUCAGUUGUACACAGGGACAUCUUGAGUCACUCUCUGAAGUGUCUACUCCAGAGAUACUGUGUUUCAGACAAGGAUGGUGAUUCCAGUCCUUGGGAGACAGAGAUACUGUAAUCCUGUUCCCUGUCCACUGGUGCACGUGCAGACCUUUUAUCAGCAGGGAUUCCUCUACCCAGCUGGACCCUUGCUGUGUUUCUGCUUUGUCCCCCAAGGUUUCAUAUGUUGAGGCUGAACCUCAGGGGGGCUGUUGGGCUAAAGGGAUGGGGGUAGGAGUAGAACCUUUAAGAGAUGGAUCUUAGAGCAGAGUGGUUAGAUCACUGGGAUUAUGGCCCUCAGAAGAUAUUAAGAAAGUUCUCAUGGGAUUUUUGUUAGUUUACAAGAGAGAGUAAAUUGUUCUGAAG